AAAACAUUUUGAAAUGCUUUAAAACAAAACGUAACAGCUGUGUGAUUUUAUCAUGUAUCCCCUUCUGCUACAAACCUAACUUUGCACCGUUACUUGAAGCAAAUACUUAAAAAGCAGAUGCAGGUCAACAUUCAUGUUGAUUAUUCCGCUUUAUUUUGAAAUUCUGGCUAGGUGAAAGAACAAAAAUAGCCCUACAAUUCUGUGCAGCUCCUCUUUCUGGCUUUCCAGCACUGUCAGCGUUUCCAAGGGAACUUCAUCAGAAUUGGCUUUGGGGAUGGACAGAACCAUUCAGUGCAGCCCAGGUGUAUGGGCGAGGGAUUGUUUGGAAAACCACUGUUUUCCUGAAAACUCCUGUUUUACUGAAAUCCUGAAGUAUUGUUGGAAAAGUGUUUUAACUCAAAAAAAAUUGCUUGACAGUUUCAUUCUCAAUGUUCCACAGCAGUCACCACCUCCUGCAUGGCUCUUUACCGCAGGGAAAAUGAGGGACUUUUGGGGGCAGGUGUGUUUCCAUUACACUAUCAUAAUGCCCCUAAAAAUCCUUAUUGCUCUUGCAGUAUUCUUCUGUGUUGCUGGGCCUGGAGUGAACUACUUGAAGACCUAGCUUCUAAGUACAGCUUCUCUCUAAAAACACUUUAAAAGAGCAACUGAUUUUCUUUUAUUUACCUUAUUUUUGGUUGUGUUUAAUGUUGCUUGAAAUAUAAUAGCAAGAUAUGCCACCAGCUGUUGAUAAACAGAUGUCAUUAAGUCAUAAAUGCAAGGGACAUGCUGGUAACUGCACGGUGCUUAGCGAAAGGAACACACUUUGGCGUAAGAGCAAGAGCUGCACUCUGUUGGUGCAAUGAGCGUGUUUCUAACUUAAGAAUCCAGAAUGUGUGUCUGAAAACUGUCACAGAUUUUGCACAGAUUUGAAGGAAUUUGUUACAGCAGACCUCACUCUGAAUGUUAACUGCCAGUAGCAGCACACUUCAGGCUAUUUAUCAAAUAAAAAGAUCUGCCCAGUAUUUUUAGUUUGAUUAAAUGCAUGCACCCUCCAGUAUUCCAAUCACACCCCUCAAAGCCCCAAAUAAAGAAAUUUCUCGAGUGUUUCUCAUUUUUUCAGCAGGAAAAUCUCAUGGGUUAAGUCGUAUCCUGCAGGUCACAAGGGGAGCUUGCUGGUAUGACCAGAACCCCAAGCCCUCGAUGCUCAGAUAGAUGCUGCAAGAAGAAAACCACUGUCUUUCAAUUCAAUUACUGAAUGAGCUCUGCCGCACAAUAUUGUCCUCACAGACUUGCUCAGAACAUGCUUACGUAUCCAUUCCCACAUGGAAAAGCAUUUCAGAUGUGUGUCCGGGCAGAAAGCAGUAGAAAAGCUAGACGUAUUAAUUCUAAAUGUGCCUAUCACUGCCUCAGUGUUUCUGUUCGACUUGUUGAUCACAAAGUGAUUCCUGGCACCUACUAAUGUGAAUGAAAGAUGCUGGCUUAAGGCCUGUGCAGCCCUGAAAAUGACCAAAAUCACUUAGAAAGUAUUAGAUAACUGAAUUAUUAAUGUUGUGAAUAAAGGGGUUUGAUCAGUAAACUUUUAAUUUCCAAGUAAUGCUCCCAAAGACUCUGCAGCUGUGUUAAAAACGUGUGAGGCUGCACAGAUUCUGUCAUGUUCUGCAGUAUUUAACAUCUGCAGAGGGAUCACUCCCAGAGCUAUAAUUUUUAUCACCUUUAUAUAAAAGAGACUUACUGGAAAAAGACUGGAAUUCUAAUUACUUUUUAGGAGUCCUCUGGGGGACUGCACUUAUGACAGCGCUAUAUAAGAGCAGUGCGAUAGAUUUGAGCAUUAAAGCUGAUAUGAUUUUGCAUUUGCCCUAUGUUAUAUUCUCACAUGACACAUAAACUGUUAAGAAUAUCAGAAAAAAUGUAUUUUUUAACAUAAGCCAUCUUUCAUUCAACUGCUUGGAGAUGCAGCCUGUAGAUUUCAACAGCUGAUUCUUACAACCACGCCUACUUAAAGUCAGUCUUUAGACUGUAGCAAAAUCAAGAUUUCCCCUGAAAUGUGCAUAUUUAAACGUGUUUAUCACGUUACACCGCUGUUGAGAAAAAUAUUUCUUUAGAGCUGGCAGCCCUGAGCGUAAAUUUAAGGAGGGGAAUCAAAAUCAGUUUGUGAUUUAUCCUUAAAGAUUCAAAUUCAAGUACUUGCUUCAAACUGUGUAUCUUAACUGCUUAUAUGAUUUUGAUUAGAAAUAGCAUGUUACAAAAAGCUCAGGACUUGGUACAGCCCCAGAGGAAGGACUGCAGCACCCACCUGCAGACUGCCUGCUGAAACAACAGCGCCUUGCGACCGGCUGCGGACAGCCUGCAGUACAAAGUGCUCUGCCAGUGGUCAUUGUGCUGCAUGGUUGGUUUUUUAAGUAUGAGCAAAGUGAACGUUUCCCUUCGACUCUUCAGGAUUUUGGUCUCUUUCAACUACAGGAGUCGUUAACAAGGACCAAUGGAUUCGUCACACUGAUCUGAAUGCUAGAACAGCAACAAGUAGGCAGUAGUUUUCAAAUAGCACUUCCACAGUAGAAAAUUUAUUAAAUGUUUGUUAUGUGCCAAGAAAUGAGUAAUACGAGAAUACUUUCAUUCUUUUACAGAAUGGAAGAGCGCUACCAGCAUUUUAGGUUUUUAUAGAUGUAUUGUUUUUGUGACCACCAGCAGCCUCAAAAUAGAUAAACAAAAAUAGCAGAAAAAGACACAGAGUUGUUAAGUGGACAGCCUGUAUAAAGCAGAGCAAUCCUCUGGCUUUUGUGUUGAGUCUGACCGUUAUUAUCUCAGUUACAGUAGUGUCUCCACCGUUACCUGUGCUGAUUAUUGCAACGCUACUCAGAAUACAGCAGCAGAUCCAGUUCUGCACUGAACUGUGGCACUAUCGAUUCUGCUUCAGUGGGUGUGGAGGGGACACCCAGCACCCCAGGGCAUGUGGCCACAUCAGCAAUGGACGCAGAGCUUUAGCACAGGAAGCACUGCUGCACCUGCAUCGCAAGAGAGCUGUUCAGAAGAGCUAAGGUACACCAUGUAGGCCUGGCACGUGCCAGGGAGGUGCCGAAGGCCUUCAGUGGGACGAGGCGAGGUGAGCUGCUGCAUGCACUUGGCUGGGCCCAGCGAGGACUGCAGCAGCAGCUCCCUGCAGAACGCCGAUUCCUGCCAUUUGGGGCCGCGGCUCAGGGCAAGUCUGCUCUGGCCUUAACCAUAAUAUCUUCCUACACCAGCUUUAUUCCUAUCUCCUCCUUUGCUGAUCACCCUGUUAACAAACAGAAGCUUCCAAGAACUCAAAAAAAAGAACCAAAAAAACCCACAAGGCAGCUGUUUCAAGGCAUUCCUGCCAGACAGGAGACAGCCGCGGCUGCGAUGUGCUGAUAACACACCUUGUGCCAACAUCCCACUACGGAAUGCACGCGUGAAAAAGCCACACCAAUUAGUAAAUUCAAGCUUCUCCAUUUUCUCCAAAAGCAGGACGCUCAGUGCAGUGCCCUGAAACGCAGAUGCUCAUACAGUGCAGGGGAGAAUGAAUGCAUGCCCUUGCCAGGACUGUGCAAUGCCUGGGCACUGCAGCAAGUGCUCUGCGAACGUGGGGGCUGGAGGGCAGAGCCCAGCAUUACUGCUGUCUGGUGGGCCUGGUUAUGUGGACUUUUUAUCAGAAGCAGCCUGCAAGGAAGCAAGAAAUGGAGAGCCACUGCACUGUGUUUCUGCUGGCCAGUCUCCCUAAGAAAACCUCCUUGGUCAGUGUUAAUUCUGCGCCAUAUGUAACAAUACCUGUAACAGCAAGUUUAUCUUAUUUUAAAAGUUAACUUUUUCCAGUGCAGCAUAAUAAUGGAUAGCAUUAACAUUAGCAUGUAUCCCAAGGAUGAAUUCUCACUUCUUUUUAUUGAUGUCACAGCAAAGAGGAAAGAGUACUUUCCUGUUUCGCCUAUGAAACACUGAACACCACUCCCGUUUUUCACACUAGCACAUCUAAAUGCAGCAGGGGAAUGGGCCUUUGCUCUGCCAUUCUGCAGAAUGCUGACAUACGUGUUUGGCAUUAGGUGUUAGAAAAACUGGAAAGAAGGAAGAAUAAUUUGAAUAUCUUUUGGAACUUUUUUUUUACUUCAAGCUGUAACUAUUCAUUAACAAUCUUUAGCAUUAGAGUUUAGAAAAUGUGCUUAUUCAUGUAGAAAAAGACAUGGGAAUGAAAAACAGAACAGCACCGGAGUCCCAUUAGGCUGCAGACCAUUGCCAGGGUCUUCUUGCAGGAGCUUUCAGUUCUGCUGCUUGUUUUGAGUGGGGCAAAAAGAUAAACAUUUUCUUGUUGCAAACACUGCCAUACGUGACAAGUUGAUAAGCAGUAUCAAGAGUUGUGCCAGAGGUUUAUUAGUUCACUUGAACAGCAUGGAAAUGUGAGGAAAAGUUUUGUGCAGCUGAAAAAUGGAAAACCAUCAGUCAGUGCCCAAAUUGAUCUGCGGAAAAAAGACAUUUUCUGUCCUCAGUAACCAGAGCUUUCACUGCUGUGGACACUUCAUCUGCUGUCCUCAAUGAAUCUGCCUCCUUUGCACAGCCUACACCACCACGGCUGCGGUACGUGUUUUCAGCUGGUGCAGAUACACAUACAGGAAUACAAAUUACAGGAAUAUAAAUACAGGAAUAUAAAUUCUGUACUGAUACUCACAAGCGACUAUGCCACACAUGUGAUAAACAGAACUUCACUGGUGACUUCACUAGAUGAACAAUAAGCAUUUUCUGCUGUUUGUCUUUUCGCUCUGGGGACACUGUGGCCACGUUUCCACGUUUUUGCCUUUUCUACUAAAAUUAGGCACUGUGUAUUUGGACAUGGCACAAAAGUGCUGCGAUGCGUUCUGCUGCACGCCUCCGUCCAGCGCUCCCUAAGAUCUUUCCUGCCUGUUUUUGUUCUUGCACAGCUGAUAGAACAAGGAGAAACACAGAGAUGAUGCACAGUGAUGCAUUAUGCACAGGGCUGCUGGCAGAAAUUUGAGGUGAGCAUAUUAAUUAUGAAUAAUAAAAGCACAAAGAAAAAGCUUCUUCCUGCAUCACGGGAGAACUUUUAACCUUCCAACUAAGGGCAUUUUUGUGUAUCUCACUGAAAAGCUAUUUUACAAAAUGCUUAUUUUUUUUUUCCUUACAAAAGUAAAGAAAUACUAUUUCUGCAAUCCUUUUCCCCACCAAGACAGGCUUUUAAUCACCACUGGCAUUUAUAAUAUGGCAACUCUUAUGGCUCUAGAGAAACAACAAUCCAAAGGAGAAAAGUGUGACAUAUUUUGCCUGGAAAACGUUGUUACACUGACAAAGAAAUAUGAAGAACGUAUAUUAAUAUCCUGUCUCACAAUAUGGGGUAAAAGCAAAAAGAAAACCAGGAGAGAGAGGUGAAAUACAUACUUCUGCAAGAUGGUCAGUAAAUAGAGGCAAAAUAAUUAUUUGCAAGACUUCAAUGAUUCCUACAUGCCUGAAGGAGGACAAGAAUAGGACUUUCUUCAGGAUUUGACAAUUGCUGGGCUCUGUGGAAUGUAGAUACCUUUGCCCAUUUGUAUGAGAACGUGUCCUUUGCCUUGGUUUCCCUCCGAGAGCUCGUAAGUGAAUACAUAGGAAGGCUUUCAGGACUUCCCUCCUCCUGUAUUUGCACACAUACAGGAGAUGCACGUGCAGGAUAUGUAUCAGAAGGAAUAAAAAGGUGUCAGCAACUGACCUUGCUGAGAGCGUCAUAUGAGUAUGGAUGUUUGGUGAAAAUAAACACGCUCCUGUCUGUCUUGAAGGAAAUACAGCAGUGGCUUUUUUUUCCAUUCUCACCGUUCUCAAACACCAAAUACCAUUCAGCUACAAGUGAGGAAUUGUCUGUGUGCAGGUGCUUGGCUUCAUUGAAAACAUACACUUUUCUUGGUGGCUGAGCUGUUCACCAUAUUCACAUCAGCCUACUAGAGGCAGCUCUGUCUCGCUUUUUUUUCACAUGCUUGUAAUGAGAAGAGAUGAGCAGCCUGGCUGCCUACAAAGGUAGCAGUGUUUGUAAAACAACAGAAGAACAGCAGCACUGCAGGGCGCAGGCUGCCAUACACUGCUUCUGCUUUCUUACGACAACAAUCUUGUAACUUCAGCUUUGGGUUGCAGAAACUACGGCUGUCCUGGCAGCAUCCCAUCCUUUUUUCACCAAGGGGGGCAAAAGAAGUG